AUUGAACGCUGGCGGCAGGCCUAACACAUGCAAGUCGAGCGGGGUUUUCGGACCUAGCGGCGGACGGGUGAGUAAUGCGUAGGAAGCUACCCGAUAGAGGGGGAUACCAGUUGGAAACGACUGUUAAUACCGCAUAAUGUCUACGGACCAAAGUGUGGGACCUUCGGGCCACAUGCUAUCGGAUGCGCCUACGUGGGAUUAGCUAGUUGGUGAGGUAAUGGCUCACCAAGGCGACGAUCCCUAGCUGGUUUGAGAGGAUGAUCAGCCACACUGGGGCGGAGACACGGGCCAGACUCCUACGGGAGGCAGCAGUGGGGAAUAUUGGACAAUGGGCGCAAGCCUGAUCCAGCCAUGCCGCGUGUGUGAAGAAGGCCUUCGGGUUGUAAAGCACUUUCAGUAGGGAGGAAGCGUUGUGUAUUAAUAGUACACAGCGUUGACGUUACCCACAGAAGAAGCACCGGCUAACUCUGUGCCAGCCGCCGCAGUAAUAC
rnacentral:rRNA from 1 species